rnacentral:rRNA from 1 species
UACAGGGGGUGCAAACGUUGCUCGGAAUUAUUGGGCGUAAAGCGCACGUAGUCGGCUUUGCAAGUCGGGUGUGAAAUCCCCGGGCUCAACCUGGGAACUGCAUCCGAGACUGCAUUGCUAGAGUAUGGGAGAGGGAAGCGGAAUUUCUGGUGUAGCAGUGAAAUGCGUAGAUAUCAGAAGGAACAUCAGUGGCGAAGGCGGCUUCCUGGACCAAUACUGACGAUCAGGUGCGAAAGCGUGGGGAGCAAACAGG